AAACAAUACAAAGUUUGCUAUCACUCGAGUGUGGCGAUGAACAUAUUUUCCAUGCAUCUAUGAAGCGGCUCAUGGCUAGACUGCCAAAACAAAGAUAUCUGAAGCAGAUAUUUGAUGAGAUUUACACAAUCAAAAUAGAAAAGAGGGUGCCGGUGCUUGUGCUAUAUAGUUUUCAAGAUGAUUACUACAAGAUCCUCUUCUAGUUUUCUCCUGCCUUUGAAGAAUGUUAUUACUGUAACUUUUCCCAACCUGGAGGAC